AGUGAACGCUGGCGGUAGGCCUAACACAUGCAAGUCGAACGGCAGCACAGUAAGAGCUUGCUCUUACGGGUGGCGAGUGGCGGACGGGUGAGGAAUACAUCGGAAUCUACUUUUUCGUGGGGGAUAACGUAGGGAAACUUACGCUAAUACCGCAUACGACCUACGGGUGAAAGCAGGGGAUCUUCGGACCUUGCGCGAUUGAAUGAGCCGAUGUCGGAUUAGCUAGUUGGCGGGGUAAAGGCCCACCAAGGCGACGAUCCGUAGCUGGUCUGAGAGGAUGAUCAGCCACACUGGAACUGAGACACGGUCCAGACUCCUACGGGAGGCAGCAGUGGGGAAUAUUGGACAAUGGGCGCAAGCCUGAUCCAGCCAUACCGCGUGGGUGAAGAAGGCCUUCGGGUUGUAAAGCCCUUUUGUUGGGAAAGAAAAGCAGCAGGUUAAUACCCCGCUGUUCCGACGGUACCCAAAGAAUAAGCACCGGCUAACUUCGCG
rnacentral:rRNA from 1 species